rnacentral:tRNA from 1 species
GGGGAUAUAGCUCAAUGGGAGAGCGUCCGCCUUGCACGCGGAAGGUUGCCGGUUCAAGUCCGGCUAUCUCCA